AAAGUUUAAAAUAUAUACAUUAAUAAAAAUAGAUACAGUUAAUUUUUUUCAGUAUAUUUAUUUAUACAAUGAAUGAGAUUUUUAUAUAGAAAUUAUGAAUUAUAAUUGGAUAAAU